CCCCACAGCGCCAUUCCGCCCCACACCCCCCUCCCAUCCCCCCCCCGUUCUGCUCAGCGCUGUUGGCCGCCGCCCCACCGCCGCUCCGCUCCAACUCGGCCAAAGGUUCCUCCGCUCCCCCCCCGCCCCCGGGAGAGGCGGCUGUAGGGCCGUCUAUGGGGCGGCGGCGGGGUGCCGAUCCCAAAGCGGAACCUUAUGGGGGCGACGCCACCGCGCUGCGCUCCAUUUUAGGUCUGCGGUGGGGCUGAGGGGGAACGGCCCCAUAGAGCCGCUGUGUGGCCGUGUGGGGCUGUGGGGUCUGCGCGGGGCUAUGGGGCCCAUGUGGGGCUAUGGGAUCCCAGGGUCCACUCAGCGUUAUGGGGUCCCAUGUUCCAUGUGGGGCUGUGGGGUCUGUGUAGGGCUAUGGGGUCUGUGUAGGGCUAUGGGGCCCAUGUGGGGCUAUGGGAUCCCAGGGUCCACUCAGGGUUAUGGGGUCCCAUGUUCCACGUGGGGCUGUGGGGUCUGUGUAGGGCUAUGGGGUCUGUGUAGGCUAUGGGGUCUGUGUAGGGUAUGGGGUCUGUGUAGGCUAUGGGGUCUGUGCAGGGCUAUGGGGUCUGUGUAGGGCUGUGGGGCCCAUGUGGGGCUAUGGGAUCCCAGGGUCCACUCAGGGUUAUGGGAUCCCAUGUUCCAUUUGGGGCUGUGGGGUGUGUGUGUGGUUAUGGGAUCUGUGCAGGGCUAUGGGAUCCCAGGGUCCACUCAGGGUUAUGGGGUCCCAUGUUCCAUGUGGGGCUGUGGGGUCUGUGCAGGGCUAUGGGGCCCAUGUGGGGCUAUGGGAUCCGAGUGUCCGUGCAGGGUUAUGGGGUCCAUGUGGGGCUAUGGGGUCUGUGUAGGGCUGUGGGGUGCAUGUGUGGCUAUGGGGUCUGUGUAGGGCUAUGGGGUCCGUGUGUGGUUAUGGGAUCCCCGAGUCCAUGCAGGGUUAUGGAAACCCAUGUUCCAUAUGGGGCUGUGGGGUCUGUGCAGGGCUAUGGGGUCUGUUUGAGGUUAUGGGAUCCUGGGGUCCAUGUGGGGCUACGGGGUCUGUAUGGGGCUAUGGGGUCUGCAUGGGGCUAUGGGGUCUGUAUGGGGCUAUGGGGUCUGCAUGGAGCUAUGGGGUCCAUGUGGGUCUAUGGGGUCUGUAUGGGACUAUGGGGUCUGCAUGGAGCUAUGGGGUCCAUGCGGGUCUAUGGGGUCUGUAUGGGGCUAUGGGGUCUGCAUGGGACUAUGGGGUCUGUAUGAGGCUAUGGAGUCCAUGCGGGGCUAUGGGGUCUAUAUGGGACUAUGGGGUCUGCAUGGGGCUAUGGAGUCCAUGCGGGGCUAUGGGGUCUAUAUGGGACUAUGGGGUCUGCAUGGGGCUAUGGGGUCGCUGUGUGGUUCCCCCCCUCUCCCUCAUGGGGCCGACCAUACGGGGCUGCUGCUCACUGUGGGGUGCAGAGCUGCAGGGACCGCUUCAGCGCCGACCCGGUGGGACCCCCUUUGUUUCUUAUAGGGUCUCACAGAGCGCUCUGUUUGUUGUUGUGGGGUCUCCGCUCUGUUUGUUGUGGGGUCUCCGCUCUGUUAUGGGGUCUCCGCUCUGUUAUGGGGUCUCCGCUCUGUUGUGGGGUCUCCGCUCUGUUUGUUGUGGGGUCUCCGCUCUGUUAUGGGGUCUCCACUCUGUUAUGGGGUCUCCGCUCUGUUAUGGGGUCUCCGCUCUGUUAUGGGGUUUCCAGGGCGGCAGUGUUUACCGCUCACCCUUCCCCUGCUGGGCUCACUGCCCUCAGCGGCACGUGGGGAAACGGAGGCGCUGCCGGGGGGGGCACAGCGCUCCCCCCC
rnacentral:lncRNA from 1 species